UUUAUGACCUGUUUCAGGGAAGCAGGGUGAGGUGGGGAGGAGCUCAGAGGAACACUCCUGUUUCUGCCAUUUUCUCAAACUCUUUCGGCUUAAAAUAUUCAAUAUAAGAAGGGGCCGUAUUUUGAGGUCAGUGUCCUGAACCCUAUCACUGAUCUCAGUGUGUCUGUAUCUGCUCUGGGUGGGAUUUAGGAUGAGAGAAGAAGGAAGGGCAGACGGCUGGCAGAGCAGGACAGAGGUGAGGCAACGCAGGGGACUCAGGAGGGAAAGGUAAGGAAGCAUCGCCAGUCAGGGUCGGGCAAGGGCUGGUUCCCAACUGUGAGCACCUCCUUCCCUUUUGUUCACUUCCUGCUUCUCUUGCCUCACCCUAGUCCCAGCUCUGAGGAUGGGCAGGAAUGGACUUGGUCAGAAGACAGCAAGAAGCCCCUCCAGACUGAAAGGAAGAAAGCAGUCCCUGACAUCCGGGAGCAGGACUGAGUUGCUUUCAGCUGGCCACACCAACAGCAAUGAGACAUCAAGGACUUGAGCUUCAUUAAGUCCUGAGACCAAGUAUGUGAUCUCCGUCCCAGCGCAUGGGUUGAAAUUCCAGUCUAAGUUGCACGGUUUCACCUGCUCAAAGUGACAGUAACAACCUUGACUUGUUCAGGGUAUUGCUGGUGGUCCUAGCUGCGGGGAUUGACAGAGGAACUAAGGCCCCCACCCCGGUGGAGGAUGGAAUGAAGAUGUUGACCCUCCUGACUUCAGUCAACUAAAGCUUGGACUCUAUUGACCUUUGCCCCCAAUUCUAUGCUGAAUUCUCCUCUGCUCAAGCCCCUUCAUGAAUAUGCAUGUUCCCUUAGCUUAAUAAUUCCCCAGUUUUGCCAUCCAGGAGACACUGCUUUGGGAAAGAUCCCAAGCGUUCUCCUUACUUGCUGCAAGUAAUAAUAAAUUCUUCCCUCU